rnacentral:rRNA from 1 species
UACGGAGGAUCCAAGCGUUAUCCGGAGUAACUGGGCGUAAAGAGUUGCGUAGGUGGUAGUUUAAGCGAAUGGUGAAAUCCUAUGGCUCAACCAUGGGGCUAUUAUUCGAACUGAUCUACUUGAGAACAUGAGAGGUAUCUGGAAUUCCCAGUGUAGGAGUGAAAUCCGUAGAUAUUGGGAGGAACACCAAUGGCGUAGGCAGGAUACUGGCAUGUUUCUGACACUAAGGCACGAAAGCGUGGGUAGCGAACCGG